rnacentral:rRNA from 1 species
AAGUCGGACGAGAAGGUUCCUUCGGGAACUGGAGAGUGGCGCACGGGUGAGUAACGCGUGGGGACCUACCUCUUAGUGGGGGAUAACGGUUGGAAACGACCGCUAAUACCGCAUACGCCCUUCGGGGGAAAGAUUUAUCGCUAAGAGAUGGACCCGCGUUGGAUUAGAUAGUUGGUGAGGUAACGGCUCACCAAGUCAGCGAUCCAUAGCUGGUUUGAGAGGAUGAUCAGCCACACUGGGACUGAGACACGGCCCAGACUCCUACGGGAGGCAGCAGUGGGGAAUAUUGGACAAUGGGGGCAACCCUGAUCCAGCCAUGCCGCGUGAGUGAAGAAGGCCUUCGGGUUGUAAAGCUCUUUCAGAUGCGAAGAUGAUGACGGUAACAUCAGAAGAAGCCCCGGCUAAUUUCGUGCCAGC